rnacentral:pre_miRNA from 1 species
UUAUUACUCCCUCCGUCCGGAAUUACUUGUCAUCAAAAUGGAUGAAAAUGGAUGUAUCUACAACUAAAAUACAUCUAGAUACAUCCAUUUCAAUGACAAGUAUUUCCGGACGGAGGGAGUAUGUU